rnacentral:rRNA from 1 species
AGAAGUUUUGAUCCUGGCUCAGGACGAACGCUGGCGGCGUGCUUAACACAUGCAAGUCGAACGGAAAGGUCUCUUCGGAGAUACUCGAGUGGCGAACGGGUGAGUAACACGUGGGUAAUCUGCCCUGCACUUCGGGAUAAGCCUGGGAAACUGGGUCUAAUACCGGAUAGGACCUCUAGGCACAUGCCUUAUGGUGGAAAGCUUUUGCGGUGUGGGAUGGGCCCGCGGCCUAUCAGCUUGUUGGUGGGGUGACGGCCUACCAAGGCGACGACGGGUAGCCGGCCUGAGAGGGUGUCCGGCCACACUGGGACUGAGAUACGGCCCAGACUCCUACGGGAGGCAGCAGUGGGGAAUAUUGCACAAUGGGCGCAAGCCUGAUGCAGCGACGCCGCGUGGGGGAUGACGGCCUUCGGGUUGUAAACCUCUUUCACCAUCGACGAAGGUCCGGGUUUUCUCGGAUUGACGGUAGGUGGAGAAGAAGCACCGGCCAACUACGUGCCGGCAGCCGCGGUAAUACGUAGGGUGCGAGCGUUGUCCGGAAUUACUGGGCGUAAAGAGCUCGUAGGUGGUUUGUCGCGUUGUUCGUGAAAUCUCACGGCUUAACUGUGAGCGUGCGGGCGAUACGGGCAGACUGGAGUACUGCAGGGGAGACUGGAAUUCCUGGUGUAGCGGUGGAAUGCGCAGAUAUCAGGAGGAACACCGGUGGCGAAGGCGGGUCUCUGGGCAGUAACUGACGCUGAGGAGCGAAAGCGUGGGGAGCGAACAGGAUUAGAUACCCUGGUAGUCCACGCCGUAAACGGUGGGUACUAGGUGUGGGUUUCCUUCCUUGGGAUCCGUGCCGUAGCUAACGCAUUAAGUACCCCGCCUGGGGAGUACGGCCGCAAGGCUAAAACUCAAAGGAAUUGACGGGGGCCCGCACAAGCGGCGGAGCAUGUGGAUUAAUUCGAUGCAACGCGAAGAACCUUACCUGGGUUUGACAUGCACAGGACGCGUCUAGAGAUAGGCGUUCCCUUGUGGCCUGUGUGCAGGUGGUGCAUGGCUGUCGUCAGCUCGUGUCGUGAGAUGUUGGGUUAAGUCCCGCAACGAGCGCAACCCUCGUCCUCUGUUGCUACCGGGUCAUGCCGGGCACUCUGAGGAGACUGCCCCGGUGAACGGGGAGGAAGGUGGGGAUGACGUCAAGUCCUCAUGGCCUUUAUAUCCAGGGCUACACACGUGCUACAAUGGUCAGGACAAUGGGUCGCUCCCUCGCAAGAGGUUGCCAAUCUCAAAAACCUGAUCCUAGUUCGGAUGGUCGGCUGCAACUCGCCGGCCUGAAGCUGGAAUCGCUAGUAAUCGGAGAUCAGCACGCUCCGGUGAAUACGUUCCCGGGCCUUGUACACGCCGCCCGUCACACCACGAAAGCCGUGUGUACCAGAAGUCGCUGAGCCAACCCUUCGGGGAGGUAGGCGCCUAAGGUAUGCAGGGUAAUUGGGGUGAAGUCGUAACAAGGUAACCGUA